rnacentral:misc_RNA from 1 species
GUGAAUCAUCAAAUUUUUGAACGCAAAUUGCACUCUCUUCUGAGAUUAUGCCUGUUUGAGGUUCAGCCUCAAAACAAUCCACAUAGUCGCUGUUUCGCGGUGACAUUCGUCGGCACUUGUUUCAUCUUACACCUUUCGGUUUUAAGCGGCUUCAAAUUUUCUUUACGCUUCCACGACCGUUUCUAAGAUUUACUUCUUCCCCCUUUAAGGUCAUCGCUCUUUAUUAUACGUUUCCGUUCCAUCGGAUCUCGUCCCUAACUAUUUCGUUAA